GGCAACACAGUUGCGAGCAAUCGCAACCGGUGGCGAGUGGCGCACGGGUGAGUAACGCGUAUGUAACCUACCCUUCUCCGGGACAUAACUCCGCGAAAGCGGUGCUAAUAUCCCAUACCAACUCAUCAAGACAUCUUCUUGAGUUGAAAGCAGCAAUGCGGUGAAGGAUGGGCAUGCGUCCCAUUAGCUGGUUGGUGAGGUAAUGGCCCACCAAGGCUACGAUGGGUAGGGGUUCUGAGAGGAAAGCCCCCCACACUGGUACUGAGACACGGACCAGACUCCUACGGGAGGCAGCAGUAAGGAAUAUUGGGCAAUGGUCGAAAGACUGACCCAGCCAUGCCGCGUGCAGGAUGAAGGCCCUAUGGGUUGUAAACUGCUUUUAGCCGGGAAUAAACACCCGUUUUAUAACGGGCCCGAAGGUACCGGCUGAAUAAGCAUCGGCUAACUCCGUGCCAGCAGCCGCGGUAAUACGGAGGAUGCAAGCGUUAUCCGGAUUCACUGGGUUUAAAGGGUGCGCAGGCGGACAUUUAAGUCAGGGGUGAAAUCCUACAGCUUAACUGUAGAACUGCCCUUGAUACUGAAUGCCUAGAGUAAAGCUGAAGUGGGCGGAAUGUGUUGUGUAGCGGUGAAAUGCUUAGAUAUAACACAGAACACCAAUCGCGAAGGCAGCUCACUAAACUUUAACUGACGCUCAUGCACGAAAGCGUGGGGAGCAAACAGGAUUAGAUACCCUGGUAGUCCACGCCCUAAACGAUGAUCACUCGCUGUUGGCGAUAUAUUGUCAGUGGC
rnacentral:rRNA from 1 species